CUGAUUAGAAGCUUGCUUCUAUGACGUUAGCGGCGGACGGGUGAGUAACACGUGGGCAACCUGCCUGUAAGACUGGGAUAACUUCGGGAAACCGAAGCUAAUACCGGAUAGGAUCUUCUCCUUCAUGGGAGAUGAUUGAAAGAUGGUUUCGGCUAUCACUUACAGAUGGGCCCGCGGUGCAUUAGCUAGUUGGUGAGGUAACGGCUCACCAAGGCAACGAUGCAUAGCCGACCUGAGAGGGUGAUCGGCCACACUGGGACUGAGACACGGCCCAGACUCCUACGGGAGGCAGCAGUAGGGAAUCUUCCGCAAUGGACGAAAGUCUGACGGAGCAACGCCGCGUGAGUGAUGAAGGCUUUCGGGUCGUAAAACUCUGUUGUUAGGGAAGAACAAGUACGAGAGUAACUGCUCGUACCUUGACGGUACCUAACCAGAAAGCCACGGCUAACUACGUGCCAGCAGCCGCGGUAAUACGUAGGUGGCAAGCGUUAUCCGGAAUUAUUGGGCGUAAAGCGCGCGCAGGCGGUUUCUUAAGUCUGAUGUGAAAGCCCACGGCUCAACCGUGGAGGGUCAUUGGAAACUGGGGGAACUUGAGUGCAGAAGAGAAAAGCGGAAUUCCACGUGUAGCGGUGAAAUGCGUAGAGAUGUGGAGGAACACCAGUGGCGAAGGCGGCUUUUUGGUCUGUAACUGACGCUGAGGCGCGAAAGCGUGGGGAGCAAACAGGAUUAGAUACCCCUGGUAGUCCACGCCGUAAACGAUGAGUGCUAAGUGUUAGA
rnacentral:rRNA from 2 species